rnacentral:piRNA from 1 species
CUGCUUGUGAGAAGGAGCGAGAAGC